GAGUUUGAUCCUCGCUCAGAUUGAACGAAGGCGGAAUGCUUUACACAUGCAAGUCGAACGGGCUUAAGGGGCUUGCUCCUUAAGUUAGUGGCGAAUUGGCCCAGUAAUAUAUCGGAACGUAUCCAAUAAUGGGGGAUAACUAAGCUAAAGCUUGGCUAAUACCGCAUACGCCCUACGGGGGAAAGCUAGGGACCUUCGGGCCUGGCGUUAAUGGAGCGGCCGAUAUCUGAUUAGCUAGUUGGUGAGGUAAAGGCUCACCAAGGCUUCGAUCAGUAGCUGGUCUGAGAGGACGACCAGCCACACUGGAACUGAGACACGGUCCAGACUCCUACGGGAGGCAGCAGUGGGGAAUUUUGGACAAUGGGCGCAAGCCUGAUCCAGCCAUUCCGCGUGAGUGAAGAAGGCCUUCGGGUUGUAAAGCUCUUUCGCAAGGGAAGAACACUUAGUCUCUAACAUAGACUGAGGUUGACGGUACCUUGAUAAGAAGCACCGGCUAACUACGUGCCAGCAGCCGCGGUAAUACGUAGGGUGCGAGCGUUAAUCGGAAUUACUGGGCGUAAAGCGUGCGCAGGCUGUUUUGUAAGUCAGAUGUGAAAUCCCCGAGCUCAACUUGGGAACUGCGUUUGAAACUACAAGACUAGAAUAUGUCAGAGGGGGGUAGAAUUCCACGUGUAGCAGUGAAAUGCGUAGAGAUGUGGAGGAAUACCAAUGGCGAAGGCAGCCCCCUGGGAUCAUAUUGACGCUCAUGCACGAAAGCGUGGGGAGCAAACAGGAUUAGAUACCCUGGUAGUCCACGCCCUAAACGAUGUCUACUAGUUGUUGGUGGAGUAAAUC
rnacentral:rRNA from 1 species